UCAAUAAGCGGAGGAAAAGAAACUAACAAGGAUUCCCCUAGUAACGGCGAGUGAAGAGGGAUGAGCUCAAAUUUGUAAUCUGGCGUGUCGAAAGGCCGUCCGAGUUGUAGUCUAGAGAAGCGUCUUCCGUGCCGGACCGCGUACAAGUCCCCUGGAACGGGACAUCGUAGAGGGUGAGAAUCCCGUGUCGCGACGCGGACCGCCGGCACUCUGUGAUGCGCUCUCGAAGAGUCGAGUUGUUUGGGAAUGCAGCUCAAAGUGGGUGGUAAACUCCAUCUAAAGCUAAAUACGGGCGAAAGACCGAUAGCGAACAAGUACCGUGAGGGAAAGAUGAAAAGCACUUUGGAAAGAGAGUUAAAUCAGUACGUGAAAUCGUUGAAAGGGAAACGCUUGGACUCAUGUCACGUCCACCGCGAAUUCAACCUCCGUCUCGCGACGGAGGUGCACUUUCCGGUGGACGGGUCAGCAUCGAUUUCGAAAGUCAGACGGAGUCCCAUGGGAACGUGACACUCCCUCACGGGAGGUGUGUUAUCAGCCCGGGGACUCGGUGACGGUUGGGAUCGAGGAACGCAGCGCGCCUUCAUUGGCCGGGGGUAAUAACCCACGUAACGCGCUUAGGAUGCUGGC
rnacentral:rRNA from 1 species